rnacentral:rRNA from 1 species
AUGAAUUGCUUAAAUUGCUUGAUGCACACCUUGCUUGAAUACAUGAAUUGCUUAAAUUGCUUGAUGCACAGUGACAUUCUCCACCAAAUUAUGCAAUGUAGUACAUCUUUCUUUGAUGCUGAAACCCAAGAUGGUGAAGUGCAUGAACCUAGUCAGCAUAAUAAUAAUAAUAAUAAUAAUAAUAAUAAUAAUAAUAUUGACAAUGAUGCUCCACCUAAUGAUGAUAAUAAACCUGAAAAGGAGGUAGAAGUAGAACCUCAAGUUGACCUAUAUGAUCCACCUUCUAGGAAUACAAGAUAUGAUAAAAGAGAUUAUGUUGCUAGAAAACAUGGUAGAGAGAGAGAGAGAGAACCAUGGGUACAAAAACAUAUGUCUUUUCCUAGUAAGACACUAAAAUCUAGAGAUGAAGAGGCAUUUAAUCAAUUUGUUGAAUUGCUUAGACCUCUAUUUCUUCGUGUUCCUUUGACUGAUGCUAUUAAGAUGCCUCCUUAUACUAAGUGUAUGAAGGAUAUAUGUUUCAAAAAAAAGUAUAUAAGGAUAUUGUUACUAAUAAAAAAAAUCCGAAGCUGA